CAGCAUACGUAAUAAGUUAAACCAUAUUGAGAAAUUAAUAUUUUUCUAAGAGGGAAAACUUGAUAGAGGAUUAUAUUUUUACAUUAGAUAGUGGAUACUCUAAUCUUUCUGGCAUUGUAAAACUGAAGCUGGCUGCAGGAAAAAUAAACAUUAUAAUACCCGGCACUUAAACAAUUGUACCUAUAUGGUUAAGUAACAAAAGCGUGAGGCACCUGGAAUCACAGUAUUUGUGCCUAAUGCCAGCAACAAUAUAAAGCAUUCAAGUGACAUUUGAUAAUGAGCAGACAGUGGAGGCAUUACACACGUCUUUAGAAGAAUCAGACUUCCUACCUUGAAAAGACAGAUGGAGAUUUUAACAUGAACAUCAGUAAGGAGGAAAAGAAUCCUUUUGAAAAACUUUGGUGUCUGCAAGGCAGUCCUAAAGAAAGCCAGAAAGCCAAGUGACUUAUACAAAGACGAGAUCUACCUGAACUCACAACCCUAAAAAAAAUGGGUCUACAUGCACCUGCUAUCACUCAAGAACCAUGGUCUCUGUCACUCAGGCUGGAUGCAGCAGCACAAUCAUAGAUCACUGCACUAUCAACUUACUGGGCUCAAGUGAUCCUUUCACCUCAGCCUCCCAGGUAGCCAGGAUUACAGGGAAUUGAAGGAGCCUGACAGACAUUUUCAAGAAUCUGUAUUUUAUUCUGCAAUGCAACAUUAAGAUACAAGACCUGUUUUGGAAAGACCGCAGUAUAGAGGAAACCACUAUAUUAUCCUGGACCUUGUUGGACUCAAUCCAAAGAAUUUUAGUGUGUAAGAAUGUGUUUUGUAAUCCAAAGGCAGAAUUAUAUAGAGUCACUGUUAAAGGAACACCGAUUAUUGUGUUUAAGCAAAAAUAGCACAAAAACAAACAAAAAUUCAAAAAAUCAAGGUAGGUUUCUGCUGAAACAAUGUGGUUUUCUAACUUGACCAGGAAAAUUAAAGGAUGUCAUAUGAUAUGGCUAGUUGACUCUGGAUUCUGUGCGUUAGUUGUGAUGUGGAUGUAGUAUGCAUCACAUGCCGAAUCUAGGCACAAGAAAUAGAGCAAGCUGUCCCCUUCUUCAAGGAACUUGUACUUUGUGUGUGUGUGGAGGUAAGAAAUCUCUGGAGAAUAAUACAUGUCUUAAACUGUGGUUUGGGAUAAAAGGUCAAUAUGAGUUGAGAGAAAAGAGAAAUCACCUUGGGCUGGUGUUCAGCUGAGCCAGGAAGAAAGUAUUGACUUUACAAAGGCAAGACAGAAAGAGAAGGUUAUUUCACACAAGUGGUAUAACAUGUUAAAAGUGAAAAAUGUGAAUAACAAUAUUAGGUUGAAUGACAAUAAUAAUAAUAGCAAACAUUUAUUGAUUACUUGAGAGAAAUUCUAUUCUAAGCACUUUAUAUCUACUACCUCAUUUCAUCAUCAAUCUUUGUCUUCCGCAUGAGGAAAUGGGGUUACGAAGAAGUAUGUGACUUGUGUAUGGAGGUGCUGAGAUGCAGGCCCAGGUCACCUUGCAGCCAGUUUGCUUUCUGGGAUGCAAUGACCAAAUGUAAAACGUGUUGAUUUUGGGAAAGAAUCAACUUAUUGCUGAUCCAGCAUAGACAUCUUAGUUGGUUUUAUUAGCUAAUGUCAGGCAUGACAAUACUCUAUUUUGAAAUCAGAUUUUUAGAGUUUUCUGGCUUCAGCCAUGGGAAACUCCUAUUCUAGGAGUAAAGUUCUGGUCAUAUGGCCAAACUGAACAGUACAUAGCCAAAGUGAAACAUUAUUUUGUAGUUACUUUUAGUUUGUCUAUUACGCUGUGUUUCUUUAUUGCCCCAAAGCAAAUUAAAUUGGUCAAUUCAGUGGAAAAAAAUCAAAAACAUGAAGAUUUGAAAUGACCAGUUGUUUAACUAGAAAAACAGAGAAGUCUCAAUUUGUAGACACAGUCUAAAUGUGGAAAAUCAUUAAACACUAAAACUUGAGGCAAACUUUACAAAUUCUCUUUGUAAAUUAAAAUCACAAUUAAUAUUACAAGUCAUUACACUAUAGAGCUAGAUAUAAAUGUAAUUAAUUGAUGUCAGAAAUAUCUUACAAUAUAAUAAAAUUAUUUUACUAAUAGACUUGCAAUUGAGACUCCUUAGUAUAAAAUAAGUCAUUUUGAUGGACUUUUUAGGGGGGAAUCUUAGUAGACACAGUUAAUAUGUAUAUUUAUUCCCAGAAAUGUUUUUUAUUAUGCACAUGAGCCUAAAGGCUGA